CGCUCUGGUGGCCUAGUGGUUAAAGCGUCCGCCUCGUAUGCGGGAGGUCGCGGGUUCGAACCACGGUCGAGUCA